UACGAAGGGGGCUAGCGUUGCUCGGAAUUACUGGGCGUAAAGCGCACGUAGUCGGCUUUGCAAGUCGGGUGUGAAAUCCCCGGGCUCAACCUGGGAACUGCAUCCGAGACUGCAUUGCUAGAGUAUGGGAGAGGGAAGCGGAAUUUCUGGUGUAGCAGUGAAAUGCGUAGAUAUCAGAAGGAACAUCAGUGGCGAAGGCGGCUUCCUGGACCAAUACUGACGAUCAGGUGCGAAAGCGUGGGGAGCAAACAGG
rnacentral:rRNA from 1 species